rnacentral:rRNA from 1 species
GCGUCCAGCCUUUCGGGGCAGGGAGACAGGUGGUGCAUGGUUGUCGUCAGCUCGUGUCGUGAGAUGUUGGGUUAAGUCCCGCAACGAGCGCAACCCCUAUCCUUAGUAGCCAGCGAGAAAGACGGGCACUCUAGGGAGACUGCCGGGGAUAACCCGGAGGAAGGUGGGGAUGACGUCAAAUCAUCAUGCCCCUUAUGUUCUGGGCUACACACGUGCUACAAUGGCGUAAACAAAGGGAAGCGAAGGCGUGAGCGUAAGCAAAACCCAAAAAUAACGUCCCAGUUCGGAUUGUAGUCUGCAACCCGACUACAUGAAGCUGGAAUCGCUAGUAAUCGUGGAUCAGAAUGCCGCGGUGAAUACGUUCCCGGGUCUUGUACACACCGA